UGCCAGCCGCCGCGGUAAUACGAAGGGGGCUAGCGUUGUUCGGAAUCACUGGGCGUAAAGCGCACGUAGGCGGACUUUUAAGUCAGGGGUGAAAUCCCGGAGCUCAACUCCGGAACUGCCUUUGAUACUGGAAGUCUUGAGUCCGAGAGAGGUGAGUGGAACUCCGAGUGUAGAGGUGAAAUUCGUAGAUAUUCGGAAGAACACCAGUGGCGAAGGCGGCUCACUGGCUCGGUACUGACGCUGAGGUGCGAAAGCGUGGGGAGCAAACAGGAUUAGAUA
rnacentral:rRNA from 1 species